rnacentral:lncRNA from 7 species
CAGUAGAGUUCAUAGGAUUCCUCAAGACCCCAAAACCAACAGAAAAGCGGAGUUUCACUCCCAGUCCUCAUAUGUGGGAUGCCAGGGCUGCAUGAUGAGAGGGCACUGUGACUCAUUACUUCUGGGAGCUGCACAGCACUGGGAGCUGGCGACACAUCUUGCAAUAGGCGUAGUCCUAAUGCCUGUUUUGCUUACGUUCAGCACAUGGAAUGGCUGCAAGCAGUAACCCCUCAGAUCUGAAACAAUGUUUGAUAUGUUCUUUGCGGUAUUGGACCAAAAAGUAGACAAAUGCUUUAGGGAGCAGCUAAAACGAGACCUUUUGGUUUUUUUCUCUCCAUAUUUCAAUAUAUGCUUUAUAUAUUGAGAAGAAAAUAAGAUCUGGUAAUACUCUUUGGCUUCUGGCUUUUUGGCUUCUAAAAUAGUUCAUCCUAUGCUGUGUAACUGACAUUGUUACAAACUGAAUAUAACUCCAAGUUUGGGUCAUCAGUUUUCUGCCCUAUGGUAUUUACACUGAUUUAGUACUGCUUUUAUGGCGACUUCAAGCACGGGGAAGUGAUCGGGUUAGCAGCAAUUUGUUUCAGCUGUCUGUAUCUGAACUUUCCUUGGGAAGUUUCAUUAACAUACCAUCACGGUUUAAAAAUAGGACUUGACAGAACCUCGUCGCCUUUAAUUAUGUAAUACAACGCAUCAAGAAGCUUUUCAUUUGAUGUUACAAUUAUUUCAAAACAACUCAAACCAUCUGCUUUUCCAUUGUGAGGAGAGUUCUGCACUGCUUUUGUUGGGAAAUAUCUGUCUCUGAAGCUCUGCAUGUAGAUUACCUGCAGCGCUCCUGUCCUUACAUUUAGUAAGCUCCUAAAUGAGUUCUGUGUUGUUGCUCUCUGCGUUUGCAGCAGUUAAGAGCAGACUGGAGGAGCUGGAGGACGUGCAGAGCUGUGGAUGCACUGCAUGACAUGGGUGAUUUCUUGCUCCCAGGAGCUCACAGCGGGGUGCUUUGCAACACCCAGAUCCAUUAGCAUUCUGCAGAGGAGAAGAUGGUUUCUCUCCACCCACACAAAAAAGAAAUACAAAUUCUCGAUAGGUGUUGUCAUCUGGACUGCUGUCUCUGUGGAAACAGUAUCAGUAAUCCCACCAAAAUGUGUUGAUGCUUUAAGCACAAAAGAAAUAGAAAACCAUUUCUUUACUCCUAUAUUACUCUAGUGACAUGUUAGCAGUCUGUUUAGUAACUGGGUUCUGAAGGUUUUUCCAUUGGCUUGUUAAAUGAACGGAAGCUGUGCUUGGAGACCAGAGUUCACUUGCUGAGUUGCCUCUUUGGAAAUGUGAGCUAUUUAU